rnacentral:rRNA from 1 species
GUGAGUAGUCAGAGUUUGAUCCUGGCUCAGGAUGAACGCUGGCGGCGUGCUUAACACAUGCAAGUCGAACGGACAAGAUGAAACCUAGUGAUUCUUGUUAGUGGCGGACGGGUGAGUAACGCGUGGGCAACCUGCCUCAUACAGGGGGAUAACACUUAGAAAUAGGUGCUAAUACCGCAUAAGCGCACAGUGCUGCAUGGCACAGUGUGAAAAACUCCGGUGGUAUGAGAUGGACCCGCGUCUGAUUAGCUAGUUGGUGGGGUAAAGGCCUACCAAGGCGACGAUCAGUAGCCGGCCUGAGAGGGUGAACGGCCACAUUGGGACUGAGACACGGCCCAA